rnacentral:rRNA from 1 species
CCUACGGGAGGCAGCAGUGAGGAAUAUUGGUCAAUGGUCGGGAGCCUGAACCAGCCAAGCCGCGUGAGGGAGGAAGGUCCAGAGUAUCGUAAACCUCUUUUGUCAGGGAACAAAGGCGGGGACGUGUCCCCGGAUGAGUGUACCUGAUGAAUAAGCAUCGGCUAACUCCGUGCCAGCAGCCGCGGUAAUACGGAGGAUGCGAGUGUUAUCCGGUUUUAUUGGGUUUAAAGGGUGCGCAGGCGGUCUUUUAAGUCAGCGGUCAAGGCCCGGGGCGCAACCCCGGCCCGCCGUUGAAACUGGCAGUCUCGAGUUGGAGAGAAGUAGGCGGAAUGCGCGGUGUAGCGGUGAAAUGCAGAGAUAUCGCGCAGAACUCCGAUGGCGAAGGCAGCAUGCCGGCUCCACACUGACGCUGAGGCACGAAAGCGUGGGUAUCGAACAGGAUUAGAUACCCUAGUAGUC